rnacentral:SRP_RNA from 1 species
CGCUUUGCCCUUCUCUACUGCCCUGGAGGCGUGCCCCAAAAACACAUACCGGAGCUCGCCAAUCGUCUUUAGUUGCGGUGG